rnacentral:rRNA from 1 species
UUUGGGCGUGUCUCCCUUCUCGGGAGACACUCUCGACCCCACGAACCCUUGACCUCAAAUCGGGUGAGACUACCCGCUGAACUUAAGCAUAUCAAUAAGCGGAGGAAAAGAAACUAACAAGGAUUCCCCUAGUAACUGCGAGUGAAGCGGGAAAAGCUCAAAUUUAAAAUCUGGCGGUCUUUGGCC